UGCCAGACUCCUACGGGAGGCAGCAGUGGGGGAUAUUGCACAAUGGGGGGAACCCUGAUGCAGCGACGCCGCGUGGGUGAAGGAGCGUUUCGGCGCGUAAAGCCCUCUCGGCAGGGAAGAAGGAGGACGGUACCUGACUAAGAAGCCCCGGCUAACUACGUGCCAGCAGCCGCGGUAAUACGUAGGGGGCGAGCGUUAUCCGGAUUCACUGGGUGUAAAGGGAGCGUAGACGGCCAAGCAAGCCAGGGGUGAAAGCCCGGGGGCCAACCCCGGGACUGCCCUUGGAACUGCAUGGCUGGAGUGCGGGAGGGGCAGGCGGAAUUCCUGGUGUAGCGGUGAAAUGCGUAGAUAUCAGGAGGAGCACCGGCGGCGAAGGCGGCCUGCUGGACCGCGGCUGACGUUGAGGCUCGAAAGCGUGGGGAGCGAACAGGAUUAGAUACCCGAGUAA
rnacentral:rRNA from 1 species